rnacentral:siRNA from 1 species
GAAAUUUCAUCGUAAUGAGGAUA